rnacentral:sRNA from 1 species
UUCUAGCCCCGAUCGCAGUGACAUCCUUUUUCUUUUUUCUUUAAAAAGGAAAAGAUAUAACAGAGAGCGGGACGAUGC